rnacentral:lncRNA from 1 species
UGUAGACGCUAGCGCGGUAUCGACGGCAGAAGUUUGUGUGUGUGUGUGAGUGUGUGUGUGUGUAACCUCGUACUGCUUGCCGUCGAUAGACGUCGCUGCCGCGCGCCUGCGACGAGGUUAAGGCCUACAGGUUGGCGUGUGUGGCUUCAGAAGCGCGGGAAAUACCAAGUGUCCUAUUGGGUGCCAACAUGAGAAAGGCAUCCAAGACUCGUAGCAGCGAUGCCGCCUCCAGUUCCACGGCAGCCGAGAGGCUGGCCGACUAUCGCGGCGAGAGCAGCUCGUCGAUCGUGCCCGUUCCCGCUUCCAGUCCUCACGUUAGUCCUAGCUCAGCUGAUGUAGAAGCCAGCACUUUGGCCAUGUCCGCCGGAAGUGGACCCGCCUCAACCAAUCCUCGUGGAGUCAAUCCGUUGGAUCAGCCGUCCACCAGCAAGGAAUCCCGUGAUGGUGCAAAGGAAAAGAAGCUUAGUUCGGGUUCUCUUGGAAGUGCUGA